UGAAGCGGCAAAAGCUCAAAUUUGAAAUCUGGUACCUUCGGUGCCCGAGUUGUAAUUUGGAGAGGGCAACUUUGGGGCCGUUCCUUGUCUAUGUUCCUUGGAACAGGACGUCAUAGAGGGUGAGAAUCCCGUGUGGCGAGGAGUGCGGUUCUUUGUAAAGUGCCUUCGAAGAGUCGAGUUGUUUGGGAAUGCAGCUCUAAGUGGGUGGUAAAUUCCAUCUAAAGCUAAAUAUUGGCGAGAGACCGAUAGCGAACAAGUACAGUGAUGGAAAGAUGAAAAGAACUUUGAAAAGAGAGUGAAAAAGUACGUGAAAUUGUUGAAAGGGAAGGGCAUUUGAUCAGACAUGGUGUUUUGUGCCCUCUGCUCCUUGUGGGUAGGGGAAUCUCGCAUUUCACUGGGCCAGCAUCAGUUUUGGUGGCAGGAUAAAUCCAUAGGAAUGUAGCUUGCCUCGGUAAGUAUUAUAGCCUGUGGGAAUACUGCCAGCUGGGACUGAGGACUGCGACGUAAGUCAAGGAUGCUGGCAUAAUGGUUAUAUGCCGCCCGUCUUGAAACACGGACCAAGGAGUCUAACGUCUAUGCGAGUGUUUGGGUGUAAAACCCAUACGCGUAAUGAAAGUGAACGUAGGUUGGGGCCUCGCAAGAGGUGCACAAUCGACCGAUCCUGAUGUCUUCGGAUGGAUUUGAGUAAGAGCAUAGCUGUUGGGACC
rnacentral:rRNA from 1 species